UGUUUGCUGUGUGUUUGUCUGUUUGCUGUGUGUUCUCGGCGCCUGUCAAAGCCAGUCUAAUAUUAGCGGCUCAUUGAUCGCUGGCUGUAUCUGGACGAAAAGAUGGUGAUAAAUGAGGAUAGCUGCGGUGGGGUGGGGGGGGCGGCGGCGGGCGCUCUCAAAAUGCUAGCGAAAACGUAAAAGUGGUAGCAUCAGGCUUUUUUUAAGUGAGAGAAAGAGAGAGAACCGUCGGCACUGAGCCUUCAUUGCAGUCCAAACAGGAGAAGCCAAUACAAUGCACAGUCUGUGAGACAGCAGUCAAAGAGGAUUGGAGAUUAGUUAGCCGGAGCAGACGCGCCCAGAGAGGGAAAGAUGGAGAGAGAGAGUGAGCAGAGAGAAAUGAAGAGGGCAGUGUGGUCUCGGGGAUUUUUUCUCUCCCCGUCGUUGAAUUGAACCUACAUUGUGUUGUACGUCGCCAGCCUCCCCCUCAGCUAUAUUUGUCCCUCCCCCAUCAUCUCUCCCUCGCUCUCUCCCCCUCUCUUUCCGCUCUCCGUAUCAAAGCCUGGGGGAGCCAGUAGAGAUUAAAUGUAGCCUCUAUAAGCCAAGCACAUCAUGUAGCUAUGUUUCUAUGACCUGCUCUCUCUUCCUGCUCUCUCUCUCCUCUCAUUCUCUUUUUGAAGGAUAGUGUUAAUGAUGUCGGGCAUGUGUGAGGUAGUGAGGCAGUGAGAGGAGAGAGACACGGAGAGGGAGGGAAAGUGAGAGAGACCGUAUGAGACAGAGAGGAAUACAUGCAAGAAGAAAAUCAAGGAAAACAGAGAAUUUGUUGACGGGAAACAGACUUGAAUAAAACACUGAAAAGGUGGAAAAGCGAGAGGCGGCUGACUUUCUCAUUCCCCCUCCUCAUCUCCCUCCUCCUCCUCCUCCUCCUCCUCCUCCUUAGCCUCCUCCUCCUCCUCCUCCUUCUCCUCUCUUUCUGUCUAUCUCUAUCUGUCUCUCCGGCUGAUACAGCAGAGAAGUGGGCCUCUUGUUUUAAAUUAUUACAUCUGUGCAGGCAAAUUAUUGGAUAAUAUUUCCACAUUUUUUGGGAAAAGUAUUUUUUCAUCUCCUGCCAUUCAGCAGGAAUGCAUGAAGACGAGAGCGGGAGACCUCGGAUUCACAGUUUUCUCUUUUCCCUUCUUCCAAUUUUGCAUGUGUUUCUGUUCUGCACUGAGAGAGAGAGAAAGAGAGAGAGAGGGAGGGGGGUGAAAUAAAAUUGAUCAAUGUUAGCGAGGGAAGCAGAAGAGCAGCAACAUCCAUUGAUGCGUUUUGUCUUUUAAUUAGUUUGGAUAUUUUUGGGCUCUUUUGGCAUAUACGACAACAAACUGUUAAUUUUCUUCUAACCUGAACUGGAUAUGAAAUAGGGAUAUACAACUGAGUAAAGGCGGCAUAGGUUAACAGCAGCGAAACAAAGCUGCAACAAGGGACAAGGGCUGGUGCCUCCUCAUUACGAACCAGACCUGGAAGUUCCCCUGAGAGUGUGGACAAUGCCCUUCACUCAACAGUCAUAAAAGCCUAUGAGCGUCAGUGGAGCUGUGGCCGUUCUGCAUGACUGGAGGAAGGAGGGAGGAUGAAAAGGCGAGGAGAUUUUGGCCGGCCCCAGAAUGUUUUGGGUGCAAAGAGGAGACGCGAGUCAAAAACCACAGUGAGAGUGGCCUGAUUAAAGACUGAUCCCAGUUCAUCUCCAGGACAUCCGUACUCUAAAGCCUCUAUAGACACACCCUUCACCUCACUGUUUACAUGCACUCCUUCCUGUCUCGCGCUGCCAAAUACUGAAGGACUUACUCAUAGCAUUCUGUGGUUAACCAAGGCUAUGAGUUUGCCUUCACUUUGUUAAGGGCCUUUGAGGAGACUCUGUGCCACUGUGUGUGAUAGAAAUAAACAAAUCUCCCAUCUAUCAAAAACAUUUGUAAGUUGGAAGGACAUUGACUAAAGACAGUAAAGUAAACUAAAAAUAAUUCAAUAAACAUUUUAGAAAGCAGAGA